rnacentral:rRNA from 2 species
CUUAAGCAUAUCAAUAAGCGGAGGAAAAGAAACCAACAGGGAUUGCCCUAGUAACGGCGAGUGAAGCGGCAACAGCUCAAAUUUGAAAUCUGGCGCAAGCCCGAGUUGUAAUUUGUAGAGGAUGCUUCUAGGUAGCGACCGGUCUAAGUUCCUUGGAACAGGACGUCAUAGAGGGUGAGAAUCCCGUAUGUGACCGGCCCGCACCUUCUACGUAGCUCCUUCGACGAGUCGAGUUGUUUGGGAAUGCAGCUCUAAAUGGGAGGUAAAUUUCUUCUAAAGCUAAAUACCGGCCAGAGACCGAUAGCGCACAAGUAGAGUGAUCGAAAGAUGAAAAGCACUUUGGAAAGAGAGUUAAAAAGCACGUGAAAUUGUUGAAAGGGAAGCGCUUACAACCAGACUUCUGGGCGGUGUUCCGCCGGUCUUUUGACCGGUCUACUCGCCGUCCCGAGGCCAACAUCAUCUGGGACCGCUGGAUAAGACCUCAGGAAUGUAGCUUCCCUCGGGAAGUGUUAUAGCCUGUGGUGAUGCAGCGCGUCUCGGGUGAGGUCCGCGCUUCGGCAAGGAUGUUGGCGUAAUGGUUGUCAGCGGCCCGUCUUGAAACACGGACCAAGGAGUCUAACAUCUAUGCGAGUGUUCGGGUGUCAAACCCCUACGCGUAAUGAAAGUGAACGGAGGUGGGAAGCGUAAGCUGCACCAUCGACCGAUCCUGAUGUCCUCGGAUGGAUUUGAGUAAGAGCAUAGCUGUUGGGACCCGAAAGAUGGUGAACUAUGCCUGAAUAGGGUGAAGCCAGAGGAAACUCUGGUGGAGGCUCGCAGCGGUUCUGACGUGCAAAUCGAUCGUCAAAUUUGGGUAUAGGGGCGAAAGACUAAUCGAACCAU